rnacentral:rRNA from 1 species
GGUAAACGCUGGCGGCGUGCCUAAAACAUGCAAGUCGAACGAGACCUUCGGGUCUAGUGGCAGACGGCUGAGUAACGCGUGGGUGACAUACCCGUUGGUGGGGAAUAACUGCCCGAAAGGGUGGCUAAUACCGCAUACGCCCAUCGGUUCGUUCCGAUGGGGAAAGUCGCAAGGCGCCGAUGGACUGGCCCGCGUUCGAUUAGCUGGUUGGUGGGGUAGCGGCCUACCAAGGCGACGAUCGAUAGCUGGUCUCAGAGGAUGAUCAGCCAGACUGGGACUGAGACACGGCCCAGACUCCUACGGGAGGCAGCAGUUAGGAAUUUUGGGCAAUGGGCGAAAGCCUGACCCAGCAACGCCGCGUGGGUGACGAAGGCCUUUGGGUUGUAAAGCCCUUUUCUGGGGGAAGAUUGUGACGGUACCUCAGGAAUAAGCACCGGCUAACUACGUGCCAGCAGCCGCCGUAACAC